rnacentral:lncRNA from 1 species
AUUUUGACCUCCUUUCCAAAGAGCAAGAAACGACGCAUUUGGGAGUUAAAAAAGCUUCUCCUCCAUUUCCAUCAAAAAAAUCAAGAAUAGACCCUGCUUUUCCAAGAAACCAACGGCGCACAACACCUUCCCUUCCCAAGGCUUUUUCUUCAUUUACUCCAAAACACACACACAUACACCCCAACCCUAGCGACGACUUUGAAAAACAACAAAAACAAAAGAAAAGUCCUUAAAAGAAAACAGUUGCUGAUUCCUCUUCAUUGAUGCAUAUUUUCUGGGGAUUCUAGAAAGCCAUUUUAAGUUCGAAUGAUGUUCAUCGCUGCUUUUGUUGACUGGUUUUUCUUGCUAAUCUCAAAAUCCCUUUCCUCCAGCUUUUAUUUGGCGUCUUCUAUCUAUUCUCGCAAAACUAGCUUAGGUAUGUUCUGAGCUCAUGUGUAACUGUUAACUGAUUUGCUGAAUAAAUAUAGGCUAAUAAAUGUCAUUGGCUGAAUGGUUUGAAUGUUUUAAAAUGUUUGUUCAAUCUAUGAUGUUUAAAGUAUUUUCUUCUUCUGCUACUUUUAUUUCAAUUUGAAAAUUAGGUGAUGAAUUACUGUUUAGUUUAUGUAGAGUACAUAUAUUGAAGGUGAAAGAUUAUUGUUCUUCUUCAUCCGUGUCUUGACAUUAAAUAUUUGAAGUGGUUCAUUGGAAAUACCUAUUUCCGAUGCAUUAAAAAGAUUCGCUUAUUGUUUAAAUAUAUAAAGUUUAUGUGCUAAAGAUUUUGUGAAUUUUUAGGCACCUUUCUCCAAGGAUAAGUCUUUGAAUAUUAUGUGCUUUUAAAUGUAAUAAUAGGCACCUUUGUAUUGAGGUCAUGGUCAGUUCUUGAAAAUAUUAGCUCUUCACAAUGAACAUUUGUCUAAUAAAUGAAGCGAUACUUCAAUGUGAUUGGUUAUGGUAAUUGGUUAACAUAUUGCAUUUAUUAAUAUUUGGCAACUUAAUAUAUAAUUAGCGUCAGUUUAUAUGUCGGCGUGAAUAGAGCUGGAUAAAUACAGAGGACUUGUAUAGAAGACCUCAGUUAGUUUUGGGAUUGAGGCCUGGUUGAUUGAUUAAUUAAUUACAGUUUAAAUGUCAAGUUAUGGGAAGUAACUUGUCUUUUAGUCUACCUUUAUAAGGAAGGCCCUUCUUUUGCUAUGAACUAAAAUCACAAGCAAUUAGCUACGUUGGUUGCACAUUUUUGUAAUUGUACUGGAUUUUGAUUCUUUUAGGCAACAUAGAUAUACAAGUAUUUUUGUUAGAUGUUGAUCUAAGCCCGUGUUACUCACAAUUUGAGAUUGUUGAAAAGUUGAAAUUUGAUAACCAUGUUAUUCACAAGUUAUAGUUAUCUUAACUUGCUUCCUGCUUUUAGUCAUGCAUUCAAUGUUUUGUCUGAGCACUUUGUUUGUGGACUUUUAACUGAUUAUUGUAUGCGUUCAUCGGGAUUGUGUACAUGUUCGUGUGACAUGAUUAUGAUCCUAAUAACAAAAUCGAGGUAUGCGUUCGCGCAACUUCUACCAAACUUUCUUAAUACUAAUAAAGCGUGAUUAGUUGUAGAUACGUACGCGUGACAUGAUUCUUGACGUGCCAAAUGAAAUGAGUACACGUACGCGUGACUCCUUUUAAGAUAAUUUCAAAACUACGAUUAAUUAAGCAACUAAAAGCGGUUAGAGGAAUAAAUGCACAUAGGUCCUAAAAUGAGUAGUUAAAUAAUUUAAGCCAAGUAUAAAUCGCUAAGCGACCGUGCUAGAACCACGGAACCCUGGAAUGCCUAACACCUUCUUCCGGAUUAACAGAAUUCCUUACUUAGAAUUUCUGAUUCGCAGACUUUUAAAUAAAGUCGAAAAUUUCCUCGAUUUGGGAUUUAAAAACAAACCGGUUAUUUGGGACACCAAAAAAUAAACUAUUCCAAGUGGCGACUCUGAAAAAUAAAUAAAAUAAUUCCAUUUCGAAUAAUGUCAUUUUAAUUAGAAAAACUCCGUUAAAUCCACGAGUGGAUAUAUAUCUUGGAAAUCAUUCAAACAAACGUGCAUCGUCUUUUUUACAAUGGAAUUUGAAUUUAUAGCUUCAGACAAGGCUGGUGAAGAAGCUGAAAGACUCCAGAAUUUCUUGGAAGAUAUUCUAUUUUGGCCCAAACCUUGGCACCUAUAUGUAUACGUUGUGAUAGUCAAGUGGCAAUAGGCAGGGCAGGGAGCGUUAUGUAUAACGAAAAAUCUCGUCACAUACGACAGAGACACAAUACCGUUAGAUAACUACUCUCUAGUGGUGUUAUCACGAUUGACUACGUAAAGUCAAGAGAUAACGUGUCAGAUCCACUUACAAAAGGCCUAUCUAGAGAGGCAGUUGAAAGGUCAUCGAAGGGAAUAAGGUUAUGGCCUAGGACAAGUCAUCAUGGCGGUAACUCUACCUAGCAGACUGGACAUCCCAAGAGCUAGGUUCAAAGAGAUUAAACAAAGUUAUGAAUGAUGGUUCAACAUUGUCAAAUAACUCAACUCAUUCUCGUGAUGAAGACAAUGUUGAGAAAUUAGGGUAAAACAUUAAGGCUUUUUGAUGAAUCAAUAAAGCUUAAAGCUUUUUAAUGAUUUACGAAGUCUGGAAGGAAAUGACCAGAUAAUAUGUCCAUAGGAUUACACGUUUAGAAAUUACCAAUGUGAGUGUGAAGUGUAAGCCGUUUCAAGGGGAAUGAAAGUAAAGGCCCAUUUUCUAAGCACUCAUGAAACCAGGUGGUGUUCAUAGCUCACAACCGUGAGAACCAUAGAUGGUUAAGAGUUAAUUGUGUGACUUAUGUUGUCUAGGUAUACAACAAAGCUCAAUGAUUCAAAGAUAUCAAAUCUACCGAUUGACCGAGUAUAUCCGAUAUAAGUUCACUACGAAAAGUUCAAGAGAAACCUACUUUUCUAGAUGCAAUUAAUUCUUGCAUGUAAAUCACACACUCGUCUGUGCAUUCCUUUGUCUUAUAGCCAUUUCCCAUUCAUGUGGGGGAUUGUUAAGAUUAAAAGAUUGGUGAAUGGGAAAUAGAGAGAAGAAAAUGGAGGAAAAGUGAGCUCCCUUUUGCUUUGGAAAGAGCAAGUGUCCCUCAUUGGUGGUAGAAAAAAAAAGUGAAUGUGCUUAUAUUGAGAAAGCACUUCUCUUGGUGUUAAAUGGGUUGGAAAGAAAGUAUGCCUCGCGCCGUCAUCGUCGCUCGCUCGUUCGGAUCGGCUUCGGCUUCGGCUUCUGCACAAUUAAAAUUCCAGUGUGGUUUACAGCCUUCGAGUGGUUCGUUGUUUCAUUGGCUUUUUUUGGUACCAACACUCUUGUGAGUUAAAUCGUUCAAUUCUGGGACAAUAAUAUUCCAGCACCUUGGAUACUUGAGGGGAAUAAUUUUCUUAAGGACACAAUAUGCAUUCAGUGGGCUCGACUUAUUUAUUUUUCAAAUAUUAUUUCGACAUUCUGUUGCUGCUAACUUUCUGUGUUUGUUUUAUGUUUCAGAAAGUUUACUGUUUCAUUAUUUAUAGUAAUACAGAUUGAAUAACAAAAGUUUGGACUAAUCUCGAUGGAAAAAAACUAAUUUUAAAAUUAAUUUAGAAGUUAAGUCAUUUUCUUACUCUCCCUCUGCCUGAUACAACAAGUAAAAGAAAAAAAAAGAAAAAUGAAAUUAUGUGAUAAAGUAUUAUUCAAUAAUCUUAAUUCUGAAUUCUGAUUUAUCUGGGUAAGGAAAAAACCAGAAUUAGAACAUAUAACAUAUAAAAAGUUAGAAUGAUUUUUUGGACGAUGGUCACCUAAUUAAGGAAUAUUUUGCUUUUUAAUUGUUCGAGCGCAAUUUAGCGGUGUUGGUUUUUAUUACGAAGAUAGAAUUUUUACAAAGCUUUUAUCUUUAUUCAUACUUAGCCACAAGUAAUUUAUACUUAUAAUCUCGUAUAUUUCACUUUUCCUGCCUCAUCUUUUUGCAGAAAAUCACUCUACGGAGGGGAUGAUGUAUGACAAACUGAUGUUAAAACCAUACUAAUAACUUAGAACAGUAAAUCCAUUUAAAAGUUUGUUACGAUCAUAAGAAAAUGGGAGCUGAUAAGUAGUCACGUGAGAUGCACGUGUGCAUAAGUUAGUUAGAUAGUUAAAUUUCCGGAAGUUAGUUAUAGUUUGUUAUAAGUUAGUUACAACUGAAUUUCUCUCUUAUAUGCUGAAAUCACAACAAUUGUAAUGCUUAUUCAAUUGUAUUAGAUUCUCAAUGAAAUAUCUCUCAUUUUCUCUCUAAAUUCUCGAAAUCAUUUCUCUUGCUAAGUCAUAUGUUCAAAAGCAAUUCUCUUCAUUUGCUCUCUAGGAUACUUAGAUUUCCUUUAAUUUCGUUAGCUAGUAUCAAGGUUGCAAUUAACUCAGGACCAACUAACAUAGAUCUUAGUUUGGGGCGACCAUCAUACCUUCACUAUGUCAGAAGAUAGGCGCAAUUUAAUUUAAUUAACGCUAAUCUCCAUUUCUUAAAUGAUCAUAUGCUAAUUGAACAGGACAAAACUCCAAACUCUAUCCCACGUGCGACCCUAUUUGCCACCUACUACACUAAAGCAAAUAAAAGCCCAUCGGAAACAAAGACAGCCGGUUCAGUAUUAGGAUAUUAUGAUGUUAACAAAAAUCAAAAGUUCCAAAGUCUAAAGCAUACUCCACUUAAUUUGUCUCAAUGUCAAUCGGGGUUCUCUUUAACAGCUAGUGGCCCCCAAAAGUCUGAAACCCCACAUGCCUUGGUCGCAAUCUAGAGAUUCUUUAGUCUAUGUUUUUGUACGGCGCAAAUUCCUAACCUUUUCAGGGACAUUUUCGUAAAUAUAAUAUCCGUGCGCGGCGAUAUUAUCCGCUUUAACGAAUCAACUAAUCGUCCCCACAAAGUACUCAACAACUUGCUUCCCACUAAUCUCCACCAAAUUCCAAUAUUACCCCUCCUCUCUUACUGUACCCUUCUUGACUCCCUCCAUCUCUUUCUCCUAAUAAACCAAGCUCUGCAUAUUUUAUCCUCCAUCUUUAUCACUCUUUUUCUCAAAGCUUACACCUUUUUCCUUUGUGUUGCUAGAUUCAACCGAAAAAUGAGCCGUUUCAGGAGAUUUGACCUUAUUGAGUACUCUCCUUCUCCUUCUUUCUUCCUUAAAGAAUCCUCAUUUCUCAGCCCCAAAACCCUACUUCUAAACCCCUCAUUCCACAUUGAAGAUGAGCUUGACACCACUCUCGAUCUCCUUUGCCCUAACACUUUCACACCCACUACACUUCUCGAUCUCGCCUCCCCC